GCAGCACCAUUUCAUCCUCAAAGGUAUAUAGAUGUCUUAAUUUUAUGGUAUCUGUCUCCUUUGCAAAUGCUGCCUGCCAUCAAUUUGUUACACUUCACAAUAAAUUGUUAUCGCAAGUUUUAUGUUGAUAAUUGUGUUAUUGAUCUCAAAGCAUUGUUUAUUAGUAUAUAAUAUCACAGUUUCUUAUCAAAUAGCCUUUCACAUUAGACUUCCUCUAUUUUGGAUGGUAAGCAUGUGGCUAUGUGCCAUUGAUCCGGAAAUCCUAAAGCAGUGAUAUCUGAUAUCGCUAAAUUCAUUUGGGGAGAAAUGAAUAUUGCUAUGGUUUGUUGAAGAUAUCCUCAUUUUUUUAAUCUGUUCUUUCAAUGUGUUCCAGGAAGGUUGUCCUUUCUCCUUACAAUUGCAUUUUAAAUUACCCCAAUGAUGCUCGCAUAUUGGGUCUCAUUAUACAACCUUGCAGAAUUAGGUCUCAAUUUUGAUGGUCAGAGUGGGAA
rnacentral:misc_RNA from 1 species